CUAGGGCAUUAAAGCAAAGAUGACCAGCCAUAAAUCAAACUCAAGGAGAGAGUAUGCUGAAUCCCUGUUGAAUAUCACUUAGAUCAUUCUUGCUCAGCUCGAGUGUUGGUAAUCUUUUGCCUUUGAGACUGAUGAGGAAUUAGUGAGAUUAGAAAAUAUUUAGAAAUUCAACCGAUCUUCUGGGUCUGCAUUUUGUUGAUUUCCAGAUGAAGGGUCAAAUAAUUUGUACUUUCUGUCACUUACUGCUUUAUAUUUGGAAGAUGUUUCCUUAAGUGUCAGAAAAGUCAUCCUGCAGAGCAUACCUAGGGUAGUUUUUUUGUGAGCUGGAGAUUGCCUUUUCAACAGUGGGCAGAAAAUUCUUGGGUUUCUGAUGUCCUGAGCUGCCAACUGCCUGCUGCCUGCUCAGCAGCCGAGGGGGAAGGAUUGGCCUGGUGGGAAAAUGUGUUAUAAUCCUCCUGGAGCAGCUGCCCCAGCUUUCCUGCUUGCUAGUGAAGCCCAGAGGCAAAAGGACCAGUCUUUCCCCUCCCAGUAUUCCAGCUCAGCCUGAAAGGAGGGUGUGGAUCUUUGGAUAAUGUGAAGGACAACUCAGGUCUGAUUUUUUUCCUCUGGAUGAAGGACCCAGUCUUACACCAGGAUUCACAUGGGAUUUUCUGGAAAAUUAACCCAGCGCUGGUUGAGCGGCGGGUGAGGAUGCUGGGCGCAGGGCUGGGAGCGCAGGCGGUGCUGCGGGGAGCUGCAAACACAUACCGCCACCUAAAGGAAGGAAACCUGCAAGGAACCCUCGGAAAGCUGCUCCCUUCGGCUGACUCUCUGUCAGAGCUGGUUAAAACAAAGACGCUUAAUUUGCUCUUCGCAGCCUGGCUCCCUGAUGCCUUCCGAAGGGUUGUCGCCCUGGCAAAGCAGGACAAGUCCCUCAGCGUCGUGUACCCUCUGCUGCAGGACCAGUAACACAAGGGUGGCGCACCUGGCACUGGGCACCGGGUAACUUCUCAAGUUGUCCCAACUUCUUUGUGUGUCUAUGGAAUCUUGUAGCAGGGCCACGGAUUAGGUGCAGCCAGGUUUUGUGCCAAGGGAGAUGGCCGGGGAAGGCUCCGCUGGGGAGCUAAACCCCACCUGUGCUGCGGCACAGGGCUGCGGCGCUGCUGCCACUGCUGCUGCCAGGUCCUGCGGGACUGGGCCAGCUGGGAACGGGGGAAAGCUCAGGCCGAUACAUCAGUAAUGGAUGGAUGAGGAGGGUGGGUGGCAGCCGAGUAGGUGGUCUUCAGACCAUGUCUGAUUUUACUUCAUUAUCUACCGUAGAUUGCAUAGAUGCCAAGGGGACAGGACUGAGAUCUGCUCAGCCCAGCUGAAUAUCUUAACUCCUAAUACUGAAGAGACAAGCUUCUUUUGAACAGCCUUUUUCUGGCUUCAUUCCUGGCUGCACAGAGGCGGCAGGCAGAAGAAACUAUUUACAGAGAAUAUAUUCCCACCGAGUAUUCCCAAUCCGUUUAUGAGCAAAGCCUGUGAAAAUAAAGGGAUGCGGUGGGGGAGGGGAAGGGAAUCU
rnacentral:lncRNA from 1 species